AUUGAACGCUGGCGGCAGGCCUAAAACAUGCAAGUCGAACGAGUGGAGGACGGGUGAGUAAUGUAUGGGAAACUGCCUGAUGGAGGGGGAUAACUACUGGAAACAGUAGCUAAUAACGAAUACCAUCAGAUGUGCCCAGAUGGGAUUAGCUAGUUGGUGGGGUAACGGCGCACCAAAGCGACGAUACCUAGCAGGGCAGAGAGUAUGACCGGCCACACUGGAACUGAGACACGGUCCAAACUCCUACGGGAGGCAGCAGUGGGGAAUAUUGCACAAUGGGCGCAAGCCUGAUGCAGCCAUGCCGCGUGAAUGAAGAAGGUCUUCGGGUUGUAAAGUACUUUUGGCGGGGAGGCGGUACCCAAAGAGAAAGCACCGGCUAACUCCGUGCCAGCCGCCGCGGUAAUAC
rnacentral:rRNA from 1 species